rnacentral:pre_miRNA from 1 species
AGUCUUCAAUUCCUCCCAGCCCGUUAAAUGGAAAAGGUGAGUUGAGGCGAGUUGAAGACUAA